GUGUCAGCCGCCGCGGUAAGACGUAGGGCGCGAGCGUUGUCCGGAUUUAUUGGGCGUAAAGAGCUCGUAGGCGGCUCGUUGCGUCAAUCGUGAAAACUCAGGGCUUAACUCUGAGCUUGCGGUUGAUACGGGCGGGCUAGAGUUCGGUAGGGGAGACUGGAAUUCCUGGUGUAGCGGUGAAAUGCGCAGAUAUCAGGAGGAACACCGGUGGCGAAGGCGGGUCUCUGGGCCGAUACUGACGCUGAGGAGCGAAAGCGUGGGGAGCGAACAGGAUUAGAAACCCGCGUAGUCC
rnacentral:rRNA from 1 species